GUAACUAAAUUAGUAUGCCUUCUGUUUACUCAGUUUGCUUGCAUCAGGCGAGGCGCCCAGGCCAGUGCUAAGAGGCUGGACUCGUAUUCGGAAGUGCAGCAGUUUGAAUACCUGCCUGGCCAUCCAGUUUAGGUUUUCUGUGGUUCCCUAACCUGCUUAAAGUGAAUGCUGGUAUGGUCGCUUUGAUGGGGCACAACCAAUUUCCUUCCCUAUCUUUUUCUCAAUCUGGGCUCUUUUUAAUGACCUCGUGACUGAUGGGGUGUUAAACCCACACCUUUCUUCUUUCCUUCGUUCUUUCAGUUCGCUUGACCACCCGUGUUCCUUGAAGAAUUUUUUUGACUCACAGGUACCAGUCUUGAGGUACUUAAAUGUCAUCCUCGUACAGCUUUUGGAGGCCACCAAUAAUAUAACUCAAGCCAAGUGUCACCCACAAAAAUGUGACAAUCGACAACCGACUAACAGAGCGGUGCCCGAGGAUGGGGUUUACGUGUACUGAAUUGACUGCAUGUGAGUCUGAAAAUUUUCAAAGAAUGCAGCUGUAUGGGCAAAUUUAUUAAAUAAACAGAAGUGUAAAAACUGAAUUGCUGUAUUUUUGUUGUUCUAUGAAAUCUACAACACUAAAUGCAUGUAUAUUUUCAUAAGUACAUUGUUUAUGCAUCUGCACUUCAUUCCCACACAUAUAACAAUUACCAAAUGCCUGCUAGUAAAAAAAAGGAAUUUAAAUUGAAAACAGAAGUCAUUUAUGUUUUUCACAGGAAUAAUUGCUUGUAGCUGCAGUCUAAUUUGUUUAUAGUUAGAUCUGUGCUUGUAAUUACUGUGUAGAGUCAUUUUUCAUACAUUAAAUCACAUGUGGGAGGAGAUGGAAGGAGUACUUCCCUUUCAGUAUUUUAAGUCUGCUGUAUGCAUACAUUGGUGGACAGAAAAUAGAGAGGAAGAAUCUCACAAUUCAUGUAUGUCUCAUCAAACCAAUAAUUUAAUAGUCACUCAUAUUAUGUGAGAACACAAUGAUCUCUUUCCUUUUUUUAACCUUUAAGAAUGUUUCAGUAAACCAGUGAAAGGGUACUACAAUAGAUUACCAACAAUAGCCAAUAAUAUUUAUAAUUAAGAUUGAUACCAGAUAAUAUGCAUAAGAUUAAUAUUUUAUUCAUGUUUUAUUACCGUCUUGUGCGUAACUGUAUUUUAUGUUGAUAAGAUAAUGAACAAUGUGGAUGACAGGGAAAAAAUGGUAUGAGGACAACCACUAUUGUACGUUCAAAAGAUGUGUCGGGUGGAUGACAAGCUCAUAAAUAGACACAAAAAUUGUUAUUCAGCUUUCAAAUUUCAGUUUCCGUCGCAGAAAGUGUAACUAAUGUGCUUAUAACAAUGUGUACCACCUCUCCCGUACUCCUCUCUUUUUCACAUGUGCACUCGCACAAAAAUAUACAAACAUCUCUGUAUGCAUACAUUGGUGGACAGAAAAUAGAGAGGAAGAAUCUCACAAUUCAUGUAUGUCUCAUCAAACCAAUAAUUUAAUAGUCACUCAUAUUAUGUGAGAACACAAUGAUCUCUUUCCUUUUUUAACCUUUAAGAAUGUUUCAGUAAACCAGUGAAAGGGUACUACAAUAGAUUACCAACAAUAGCCAAUAAUAUUUAUAAUUAAGAUUGAUACCAGAUAAUAUGCAUAAGAUUAAUAUUUUAUUCAUGUUUUAUUACCGUCUUGUGCGUAACUGUAUUUUAUGUUGAUAAGAUAAUGAACAAUGUGGAUGACAGGGAAAAAAUGGUAUGAGGACAACCACUAUUGUACGUUCAAAAGAUGUGUCGGGUGGAUGACAAGCUCAUAAAUAGACACAAAAAUUGUUAUUCAGCUUUCAAAUUUCAGUUUCCGUCGCAGAAAGUGUAACUAAUGUGCUUAUAACAAUGUGUACCACCUCUCCCGUACUCCUCUCUUUUUCACAUGUGCACUCGCACAAAAAUAUACAAACAUCUCUGUAUGCAUACAUUGGUGGACAGAAAAUAGAGAGGAAGAAUCUCACAAUUCAUGUAUGUCUCAUCAAACCAAUAAUUUAAUAGUCACUCAUAUUAUGUGAGAACACAAUGAUCUCUUUCCUUUUUUAACCUUUAAGAAUGUUUCAGUAAACCAGUGAAAGGGUACUACAAUAGAUUACCAACAAUAGCCAAUAAUAUUUAUAAUUAAGAUUGAUACCAGAUAAUAUGCAUAAGAUUAAUAUUUUAUUCAUGUUUUAUUACCGUCUUGUGCGUAACUGUAUUUUAUGUUGAUAAGAUAAUGAACAAUGUGGAUGACAGGGAAAAAAUGGUAUGAGGACAACCACUAUUGUACGUUCAAAAGAUGUGUCGGGUGGAUGACAAGCUCAUAAAUAGACACAAAAAUUGUUAUUCAGCUUUCAAAUUUCAGUUUCCGUCGCAGAAAGUGUAACUAAUGUGCUUAUAACAAUGUGUACCACCUCUCCCGUACUCCUCUCUUUUUCACAUGUGCACUCGCACAAAAAUAUACAAACAUCUCUGCUACUUAUGUGCCUGUCCUCAUACAAUUUUUUAUGUUUUGUAUAUAAUUCUUGUACUUGUUAAAAUUUGCCUGUGUUCUUACUGUUUAGUUAUUAGUGACACACAGAUUUUUGAUUGCAUUAUGAAGCAAGAUCUGUGCUUUUAUAUAUUUGUGUGCAAAGUUUGCAGUUGAAUUUGGAAUAUGUAUUAGAUGUUGAUAUUGAAGACAUUUAAAUCUCCCCUCUAGUAUUUUGGAUAUUUUGAGGAUUUUUGAAGUACUUACAUCAUCUGGUCUCCACCCUGCUAACUUUAAACAACAGAAAAUCUGCCCUUGCCGCUUAGUGGUUCAUUUCAGUAUGGCGGAACCAAUCACUAAGUCCAUAAGGAGGGAAUAACUGAAUAGCUAACUUCCAGAUGAGGGAAUAGUGCUAAAUAGAUUAUUACACAUUUAAGAUUCACUAUUAAUGCAACUGAAUGUCAUGAACAUUUACAAACCAUAACUGUGAUAUUAAUUUGUGACUUUGCUUGUAUCUUGCCACCCAUUACAAUAAGUGAAAUGUAGUUUUUAAUUGAAAUGUACUGAAGACUGCCUAGAAUGUUAUUGUAUGUUCUUUUUUUGCUGCUUGUGUAAUGAGCACUAGUGAUGGCGGGUAUACUGUUACAAAAACUUCAAUAUUUGCAACAGCUAAAACUUCUAAUUUCAGCUCUUUGUGCGGUUUACAACCAGUGAAAUGUGUUAAGUAUUUUAUAUGUUUGUACCAAGUAUCAUUCAAGUUGAGGUUGAUUGUUCACAAAAUGUAAAUGUAUUGUUUUAAGCGUUUACUGCUGCUUCAGAAUUUCUGUUUUCCUGGAAGAUUGCCCUAUCAAACUUCAGGAGGUGUUAAAUCUGGUUUUUGCUUACUAGUUUCUACUUUCUAACAGCAACAUCAUAGUUAGGUGGAUCUGUAUGGUGACUUUUUGGUUUUGCCUCUCUUCAGCCUCUUGUAGAUGUGAUAUGGGAAGUAACUUGUCUCUUUCGUGCAGUUUGCAAGUAUCAUCUUGUUGUACAAGUAAACAGACAGUUUACUUCUCUACCUGAAAUUUUAAAUUCAACUCUGGUGAGAGGGAGUUUACCCCUUAUUAGUGAUAUUGGUAUAUUUUGAAACUGAUGUGCUCUUGUUUUAUGUUCUGACUUCAUUUUAUUGCUGGUGACAAGCACUGUAUGCAGCAGUUGGUGCCAUUUAACCCCAGUCCUCUUAUGUCACUUGUCAGUUGUGGUAACAUCUGACAGCUGUGCCAAAUUAUGCAUGGGAUUAUGAGGUUGGCAUUUGGCUAGUAGUUCUUGAUGUGAAUUUGAGAGAGAACUUUUCUCUUUAAUUGUUUUUUUUUUAUGAAACUGGUGAGGGUACUGUCAUUUGAACUCCACUUUAAAUUUAACUCCCUUAUAAAUGGCAAGAUGGAUUGUUUUUCCAAUAGGAAGAUGGCAAGGACAUACCACCUCCAAUAGGACCUUGUCCAGGAAGGCACUGCAGUACUGAAACUAACUCCCAGGUGAUGACUGCUUUAAUUUUUUCUAGCAUGCACAGUACUCAUUCCUAUAUUUUGGUAUGAAGCAAAAUAAAUUCUACUUCUGCUGCCCCAUCCUGGUCUACUUAAACCAAGUAAACACAUGAGUUUUUGUCAUUGUAGAGUUAUGACUUUUUAGGCCAGUACAGUAAGCUGUAGUGCAAACGUUUAACAUGGUAAACUAAAUUACCAUUCAACUAACUACCCUCGCAGACACCAUCCCCAUACUCAGGGAAAACCGCAUGCAGUACUAGGCACCGAAUCAGUGCGUACUUCCGGCUUGUAGUGUUGACGAUGGCUAUAUGGUGUAGUAGUUAAUCCCUUUCUUCAGUUUAUAACUUUUGACCUUAAUAAUAUGAAGUGUAUUAAUUAAUAUCAUUAUUUCCUUCUGUGGUGCAGGUGGAUAAAAUUUAUAAAUUGGAGAAAAUAUUUUAAUUUUAAGUGAGAGGCAUAGUUGAUAUGUCACUCUUAUUUUACCUGCCCCUCCCCCUCCCUCUCUAUUAAUUAAUAGUAAUGAUGAUGUGUAAGUAAUUGAGUUUGAUUAUCUGUUUUAAAAUCCUAACAUUUUUUUUUUUUAUUACAGUCUAUUGUUGCAAUAGUCUUUGCAAUGACAACCUGUUUGAAUUUCUUCAGAUCUGUUAAAUCAAAUAAAAGGCAUGCUAAGUUUGGUCUUUCCUAACUAAUUUGAAACACACAAUUGUGAUUUUAAUAGUGUGUUCAGUACACAUAUGUAAAGUUUUUUAAUAUUGUUUCACAGUUUUGUGAGACAUAACUUGUUAUCUUGUAGUUACAACACAAAUAUUUAAGGUUCCUGUUACAUUUUAUAUUGAAAUUCUUCUUUUGCAAUAAUUGAGGAUGAAAACCCUACUUGUAUAUUGACAGUUUAUGUAGAAUAAGGUAUCAGUUAUUGGUAAACAAACGUAGUCAGUGGCAUUCGUUGUUUUGAAAUUUUUUCCUUGAGAGAUGGAAUGGUAAGAGACUUAGGUAGGCAAAUACGUAUGAACAUUUGCACAGUUUUAUGGAGUUUUGUGACACUAUAAUAUGAAUGUUUUCGCUUUGGAAGGGGGAUGUGUCCAUAAUAGGAAUGCUAAAUUUCAAGAAAAGGUGCAAGAAUGCUCUUAAGGAUGGUCAACUGUUGUAGCUCCUUGACAAACAUAAAAAAUGACAAUGUUUGAUUUGUAAGAAAAGAGGUUCCGAUACUGUGAGAUUCUGGGGAGGGGGGGGGGGUCUUUUUUAUUUUUAUUUAAAUGCCUUAAAACCUUAUUUUAAUGACUUCUUCCAUCAGAGAUACUUGUAUAGUGUACCGGCACAUACCGUCACAAAUCAAGCACUGGAAAGUGACAUUCAUAAUAUCCCGUCCAACAGGAAUCUCAUGUAUUGUCCAGUGAAAUGUGCAUGGAGAUAAUUGAUACUUUUCUUGCUUGUGUGUCAAGGAAUACUCUGACACAGAAUUUAACUUUUAAUAAACUGUAUGGUUCCACCAUGAUUUUGUCAUGCAGUUGAUAAUAGAGGUGUACUACUUAAGAUAAUUGUGGCAAAUGCCAGUACAUUGAUCACAUCAUAAAGUUGCCAUUUUGUCACUGCAAAGAUAACAAAUUAAAUUAACUCUUAACAUAUUUAAGUGUUCCCAAAUUACAGUAUUGUAGUAAAAAUAAUUUUCUUUUUUUAAUUAUAAAUAGUUUCUAUUUUGAAAGCACAUAUAUGUAAAUUUAUAGUAACAAUGCAACACUGUGGAACUGUUACAAUAUAACAUUACUAUAAAGGUGAAUGGGAAAACUCAUGAAAGAGGGAAUGAUAAGACUCACAGAAAAAUUGCAGUAAAUAUAAUCAGUGUAAAUGGGGGAGAGAUAGAGAGUGGCCUGUUUGCUAAAGGAUUCGGGAUGGAACUGGAAUGACAAAUGUGAUGCUGUUUCAUACCAGGAUGGUCAAAAUCUGAAUGUAGGCCAUAUAAAAUUGGGACGGAGGAGGGUCGUUAGAAGUCAGCAGAUCUUGUAGCUUAUAUGAGAAUAUAUUAAUAAUUUUUCUAUGUGAAAUUGAAUAAAUGCAGUGUUCAUUUUGCCGGAUGAGUUUCACACUAAUUUAGUGAUGCAUCUUCAAUGGCAGUAUGUGUUAUGUAGUGUUGUUCUGCAAGCGUCCUUGCUGUUCUGCUGGUAAGCUGCUUUACAGCUUGCAACACUAUGAAUGAACUCUUGUCAGUUCGCCACACAACUUUGCCCAUACACAUUUCCACCUUGUUUAGGGAAUCAUUGUAUAAGGAAGGCAAGUGGGAUCUGUAGAAAAAAAGAACAUUAGAGAGAGAGAGAGAGAGAGAGAGAGAGAGAGAGAGAGAGAGAGAGAAGGAAGGAGGGGGGGGGGGGAGAUUGUGUACACACAUGUGCAUGCAUGUGCACGUGUAUGCACAUAAGCAGAUGAACAACUUCAUUUACAAAACAGUGAAGACACAUGUAAAGCUCCAACAACAUAUACUGUUACAGAAGACGUUGCAAUAAAUUAGGGUGAAACUCAUCUGGAAAUAUAUAGCUGCAUUUAUUCUGUUACACACAGACAUAAAACCUAAAAAUCAUUAAUAUAUUAUUAGUAGCAACUGAGGACUGAUAGACUAACAACAAUGUUUAAAUGUAAUUAAAAAUUUUUAAAUGUAAUUGUAAUGGGCAAUUUUGGUAAAAAGUGAGGCAGCAUAUUCACUCGCUCCUACAGACAUUGGCACAGCUUAGAAUGACUGUCCACUUGAGGAGAUGUAAUAAUCCACAAAGCAACUUCCAGUGAGCCUCUCGAUGUAAUAAUAUUCUUGCCAUACUGUUUCAGUAGACCUUCAGUAUUGUUAUUUGCUACGCCUCCUUUCUCGGUAAAUGCUGUGUGUGCAAAUCAUAUCCUGCAAGUUCAGUGAUUGUCCUUGGCUACAACCUCAAAACCAAAUGUGUGUGAGGCAUCGAAUAUGCAAUCUACAGUAUAACUACAGUGUUGGAUAUGCCCAUUCUUUGACAGGGUUAUAAACACAACUGGUCUAUCAGAAUAUGUAGCGACAAGCAGAAUUCAUAUUAGGCAAGAGUAAUUUUUGGUUUGCAAACACACACUGUACCUUACUGGCACAAACUGCUAUUCAUAUUUUCCUUUUGCCGCAAUUUGACUAUGUUCUCAGCACAUAAUCUUCAGAACUGUUAUCCUGACAUCAACCAUUUGCUUUAGUCUCCAUCUGUCAACUGUCAGUCCUUUUUACAUAUUUCUUCCCCUUUUUUUUCCCUGCCUUUGAAAUAACUUGGUGUGACCUAGAUAGCCUCUUGGCUAUGAAUUUCCUCCUGUCAGUUAAGGGCAUUAUUUUCUUUAUUAUAAAUGUUGUUUUUUUUUUUAAAAAAAGGAAAAGGAUUUAGUCUUACUAACCAAUUUUGCAGUGAUUAUGAUUUCUUAGAAUUCCUGCUUUUCAGUUUUUCUAGUGUUGUAAUUACUGAUGACUGAUUCAGCUGCCAGCAUGAUGCAGCAGGUUUAAUGUAAAUCCAUAUCACAUUACCAAAUAUCAAUGCAAAGAGAACUUAUGUUUCCUCCGAUAGUAUUUAAACAUAAUCUCCUGCUUGGAAAGAUCAUACAUUUUUGUUUUUGUUGUCAUUAUUAUUAUUAUUAUUAUUAUUAUUAUUAUUAUUAUUAUUAUUAUUACGUAAUAGCUGGUAUUUGUUUGAAGGAAAAGAGCUGGUUUGGAUUUUAAUGGUUCAUAUUGGACCAUAUUUUUAUUAAAAAUAUUCAUACCAAUUCUUGGCAUGCAGUAGCAAAAUUCAGAUGAAAAGCAUCUCUCCAAAGCUUUCUUUUUUAUGUUUUGUGAGGUCAGUACAGAACUUUGCCACAUGCAUUAUUUCCAUGUACAUUACAUAUAAGAGAACAUUAGGAUUUGUGGCUAUUCUUUGAAUCUAACAGCUCUGUUGCUGAGAAUAGUUUGUAUAAUUAAAAACAGAAAGUCAUAUGUACCUCCAGGAAACACUGUUAUGCAGCUAUUUUAUCUUUGAAACAGAUUGCAAUAUUGUGUUUCAUUCAGUGUUCUGCUGUCCGUACAAAAUCACAACUGAGGGAUGUGGCAUGUCUUCAUGUUGUGAUAUAUUUGACAGGAGAGGUUCUUCAGCCUCCUGGUGAAACAAAAUUUUGGAAGUAAACUUUAUAAUACCCUGUUUAUUGUAGUUGAAUAAUGUACAUAGCCUGUUUUAUUACUCAGAGUGGUAUGAAUGUGUAUACCUGUAAACUUCUCUGAGUUUGAAUAGCAAAUCAGAGACAUCUUUUGAUUAACACCUUGCAUUGUAAUGUGUGUGUGUGUGUGUGUGUGUGUGUGUGUGUGUGUGUCAGAGAGAAAAUGAUGAGCAGCAUUUUACACACUAAGUGACCUUGAAAUGCAUUGCCACAAUAGAUGUUACUAACAGUUGCAAAUGACGUGAGUGUGAGUGCUUUAUAAAAAUACAUUCACUUGAGAAGGGCUCCUGAAAGUUUGUCUUUGUUACCAUAUGAAUAAUUGCAGAUAAACACUUGUCAAAUAUCAGGAAGACAUUUUACAUGAUACAAGAAUGAAUGAAGAGUACAUGGAUAGGAAAAAUUCUAACUGUCUCAUUAUUUAUGAAAAUGUUACAUUUUAGUCAACUGCUGCUUGCCCAUUAAUCUCAAAAUGAACUUCAACAGUUGUGGACAAUAGUUACAGAGGCCUUCCUGUAAAAAAAUAUUCCUUACUGUUAAAUGUAUUAAAUUACCUUCAUAGCAAAAGGGAAAAAAUGUUGUUUGCACGAGUCCAAAACUGUGGCACUAUUACAUGAAAAUUGUUGUUUUCAUUUGUCCCUUGAAAUUUAUUAACAUUUUUAACUGUGAAAGUUGUAACAGUGUCUGUGUGGAAGGGAUAAAUAAAUAUUUUUUGUGCACGUCUGUUGUAAACAAAAAAAGGAUGGGAUAAAACAUUAUUGUCUGAGUUUUGGUGUUAAUAGUCACAAACCAUUCUGUCUGCAGAAUGAACCCAGGAUUAAUGGAAGCAUUGAAACGUGUAAAAUUUCCAUAGGUAAAUGAAAGUACUGCAUGUGUUUAUUGUUUUUUAUUUUUUAUUAGUUUAUUUAUUUAUUUGUGUUUACAGGUGCCAUAUAAGUACUCAAGUUCCAAAUAUUGUGCAAAAACAUUGUAUUUUACAAGAAUUAAGGCAUUAGUACUGUUUGCUUAAAUGCUUAACUUGCCAGCUGUUAGCUGAAUUGUGAACUACCUCAUGUAAGAGAUAUUGGUACCAAAAGUACAGAUUUUCACUUCACAUGUGAGAUGGUUUCAGUAGUUGUAAUAUGGGACUGCUUUGUUUGAGUGUUAAAAAUUGUGGACUAAUCUCCUGCAAUAUUCUAAUCAUAGCUGUAAAUGAAAAUUAAUGGCAGCUUUCUGAGUUAAUUUUUUGUGGUGUUCGAUAUCACAAGAUUUUUAGAUUUUAUUAUCACAAGAUUUUUAGAUUUUAUUUUGUUUGCUAUGUUCACGUAUCGAUACUCACAGACAUGCAUAAUAUGCAGUAACUUCUGAAUCUGAGCUUUAAUAGCAUAAUGUGCUAAUUGUACAGCACUACUGAAUAGCACUGUGUACGCUUUCAGAGGAUGACUGAUUGUUUUGUUGUUGUUGGGAAAUGCCUGGCAGAUGACUGCGUAAUCCUCCUCCUACCACGAGGCAGUUGUUUUCUGUUAGAUGCUGUCAGUUGAGAUAUGUUUCUGCACUAAUUAUUGCAAAGUGUUUCCCACCUGUAAACAAUGACAAUAACUUGCUGUUUGCGUAACAAGUUUUUAUUCAUAUCCAUACAUUUCUAUUGUUGUUGUUUUUCUUAUUAUCAUUAUUACUGAAUUGUGCAUCAUGUUGGCAUUGUAGCUGCUGGUUGUGACAUGGUUGUGUAUAUUAAGUGCCUAUAAUGUGAUUGUCAGUAGUGCAAUUUCUCUUUUUUUACAGUCAUUGUUUAUUUAGUUUGAGCAUUAAUAUGUUACGGACCACUAUUACUCGAAAACCAGCCGAGAAAAAGAAUUUGUGUUAAUAUGUGUUCAGUUCAUUCAAAGGCCAGUUAAUAAAUUGUGCAAUUUUUAAGUUUUAUACCCAA